GGUGCAUCCUUCUGCCCUUGACCGACGUCCCCAGCUCCCUGCUGGCUGGGCUGUGCUGGAAACGCCUUGCUUUAUUUGCCACCUCCCUUGCUCUUUCCUCUUGCUCCUUGAAUUUGUCUUUGCCCCGAUCCAAGGAGGAAAGCUCUUAAUCAAACCUGGCCUUCGCUAAAGGCGCAUUUCCAAGACAGACCUGUGUAAAUAGGCAGUAUCUCAAUUACCCUCCACUAGCAGUAACGUUUGCUGUUUGAAAGAGGACAGCCUCCACCUUCCUAUUCAUCACAGUAACCCUUCAAAGUCCUGCAGCGUGCCAGUCGCAGAGAAGGUGUUUUUGGAGCACAGCAGAACUACCCAUGAUAUAAGCCAAACGCUGAGCGAAAAUAUUUUAUUUGCACACCAGCCAAUAUAUGAGAUGCAACUACAGGGAUUUAAACACGAUACUCAGGCUCAUUAGCAAAGCAAGCAUAGAUAACAAGGAUUUACUGAACAUUACCGUCUGACUUGGCCAGCUCUCCCAGAGGGAUCAUUAAGAUGACAUCUCUGAUGCUGAGCGUGUGGUGUACGUGCACAGCUGUACGAGCAAUGGGGAGUGCAUGGCUGCAAAACUGCAUUCUGCUCUCAGGAGAGCUAAGAAUCCCGGUGAAAUCGCAAUCUGAGAACAAGAUCAGCAACUUCAGCGUAGUGGGGAAGUCAGGAAAUGUCCUCCUCUUUGUGUCCAACAGAAGGAGCGCUACAGAAACAAAAAGGCAAAACAUGAAAGUACUUCAGAGACGGGUUUAAAAGAAAUAAAAGGUAUGUAUCAAAUCCAACAAGAGAAAAACUCAACUGAAACAGUAAAAGAAAGAUGCUCCAACUGUGUUUCCAAAAGGAAAAAGUGACAGUUGUCAACUAAGCAUCUAACAUCAUUGCUUGUGGCUGCAGAUAGUGCCCAGACCCA
ensembl:lncRNA